UACGUAGGGGGCAAGCGUUAUCCGGAUUUACUGGGUGUAAAGGGAGCGUAGACGGCAUGGCAAGCCAGAUGUGAAAUACCGGGGCUCGACCCCGGGACUGCAUUUGGAACUGUUAAGCUGGAGUGUCGGAGAGGCAGGCGGAAUUCCUAGUGUAGCGGUGAAAUGCGUAGAUAUUAGGAGGAACACCAGUGGCGAAGGCGGCCUACUGGACGGUGACUGACGCUGAGGCUCGAAAGCGUGGGGAGCAAACAGG
rnacentral:rRNA from 1 species